rnacentral:rRNA from 1 species
GGCGCAAAACAAAGGGAAGCAAAGCCGCGAGGCGGAGCGAAUCCCCAAAAGGCGUCUCAGUUCGGAUUGCAGGCUGCAACUCGCCUGUAUGAAGUCGGAAUUGCUAGUAAUCGUGGAUCAGCAUACCACGGUGAAUACGUUCCCGGGCCUUGUACACACCGCCCGUCACACCAUGAGAGCCGGGAACACCCGAAGUCCGUAGUCUAACCUAUAUGGAGGACGCGGCCGAAGGUGGGUUUGGUAAUUGGGGUGAAGUCGUAACAAGGUACC